UACGUAGGGUGCGAGCGUUGUCCGGAAUUAUUGGGCGUAAAGAGCUUGUAGGCGGUUUGUCGCGUCUGCCGUGAAAUUUCGAGGCUCAACCUCGAACUUGCGGUGGGUACGGGCAGACUAGAGUGUGGUAGGGGAGACUGGAAUUCCUGGUGUAGCGGUGGAAUGCGCAGAUAUCAGGAAGAACACCCGUGGCGAAGGCGGCUCUCUGGGACGGUACUGACGCUGAGACGCGAAAGCGUGGGGAGCGAACAGG
rnacentral:rRNA from 1 species